AGAAAGUAAGAUGGAACACACAUUUUCACAUUGCAGUUUCUGCCCUGAGACAUCUAUUUACAAAAAACUAACACUGUGAAAUAAUUCCUUUCAGAACUUUUUGCAAACAGACCAAGGAUGGGGAAGAUCCCAGAUCUUCAGGGCCAGACAUACCCAAGCCCCAGUCCUGAAAGCUGCCUUUGUCCUCCCACCACCACCACUUCUACUGCCUGGGAACAAGGUCGGGAACUGGGGGAGGGGAAGAAAGGAAAAGGAGGGCAGGGACUGGAACUGAACUGGACCAAAGAAAGAGAAAAUGCCAGGAUGACGGCAUCAUGGAGACCAGCCAAGGACAAGACAGCUGCUAGAACAUGGGAAUAUCUUAAGAGGAAAGGACAGUUUGCAAGCAAUAUUCCUAGCAUGGCCGCCACCAAGCCCGGAUUCCAACAUCGGCAGCUGUACCUCCAGGAACUGUGACACAGGCCAGGUUCUCCUUCCUCAGGUCUGACAGAGUCUUCCUCUCCUAUCUUCUCCCCUGUUUUACUUGGAGGAUCUCUGAACAUCGAGGAUGCUCUCUGGAUAUUGAUGAGGAAAUUGAGGCAAACAAGUUUAAGUGACUUGCCCAGGAUCAUCCAGCUACUAAGGUCAAAUUUGAAUUCAGAAUUUCUUGACUCCAGCUCCAGAAAUCCAGAAGAUGAAAAGACCCAUUUACAUCUGAGUAAACAGGGAAGGGUUGGGCUGGAAGACUACUUGGAGUCAAUAAAGCAAAAUCCAGAGGUACUUUAUAUAUAAAAUAUACAAAGAGAAUAUAUGGGCCAGUUUGGCUAGAGAAUAAAGCUAAUUUAC